CCCCCCCCCCCCAAUUUCCUGUUCUUCACCUUCUUCAACAAAAUCACACAGCAGCGAUUUCUCAACAAAGGGAUCCAUGAUCUCUCUUUCUGAUUCUCAAUAGAGAAAGAGCAGCGGCUCCUUUUCCUUCUCCGGCAACUAGCGAGUCAGCCGCAAACAUCCCCAUUAACUCCUCACUCUCCAAAACCAGCUGUGAAACAACCCUGUUUCUCACCUCAAAACACCCCAGAAAUGAUUCCUCAUCAGUCCAAAAACAUAGCUGAAAACUCCGUGGAAACACAACUCUAAAUCCAGCGAAAAUCCGUCCAAAAACCACCCAAAACAGCGCCCGAAACUCCCCGGUACAACAGCUUCGAAACAUAUUCGAAGUCACUGCGCUUCAGCUCUAAAGACAACGCCUAGCUCGUUUCUUCUCUGUUGGUUUUUCGACGAGUUCGGGGCUGCCAAAGGGGUCGUUCUCAAUUCUGGUUGAAGCGAGUCGAGGUCGACGUUUGAAGUCCCGGUUUGGUCUUGUUCGUGUUUUCACUUGAAAGCUUUGGUCGCAACCAUGUAAAUCAGUUGAUUUCUUAAUAAAAAGGGAAAGCUUGCGCAUCAAAAGGUCCAUCCUCUUCUCUUAAAUUCAUUUUUUUAAGUGGGUUAAUGUCAUGCAUUCGAUAAAUUGUUUGGUUGCUCUAUUUCGGAAUCCUUGAGUUGCUAUCUCGUUGCUUCGAAUGGUGGAAUAUUUUUAUGUUCUGUUAAUUUGCUCUUAAGAACGUAAGUGUUUAAUUUCGAUAUUUGAAUCGAAAAAUGCAAUAGUGAAGAAAGCACAAUGUUUGUCGUAGAAAUCCUCUUGUUUUGGCUUAUCUCGUUUGUUUGUGUCGUUAAGGUUUGGUGUAAUUCUUAUAGGAUUUUGCAUCUGAUUCCUGUAAGCAGUAAGCCAUGAAUUCUUAUUGAGCCUUGUAUUGAAGUUUGUUGGGAGAUGGCAUCAAAUUAAAAAUUUAUAGUCUUACUUGUUAACAACUAAGAGCCUUGAGCACAAUUUGGUUAGCAAAUCACUGAAGUUGAGAACGAGAUUGGUUUGGUGUUUUUACUGGUGGGUCAGCAUUUGUUCUUGUGAAAUUGAGGUGUGCCAUUUUUCUUAAGUAACCCAUGGCCCUCGUUAAAAUUAGUUAGCUCUUUUAAAAAUCGAGGCGUGCCAUCAGUUGAAUUUUUCAUGGCCCUCGCAAAUGUGAAGGUGCGUAGUUGUUUUAGGCGCGUAAUUUAAAUUAAUUUCCUUAAACUCGGGUGUGCAUUUCAUGUGACCCAAAUCCAAAUCUCAACAACGUUAAAUAAAAUGUGUCGUGGACCAUGGGUGCAUUUCAUGUGGCGUGGUUCAAAGACGUGUUUUAGGUAACGUUGAAUCUUCCUAAAAUUAAUUAAAAGCGGUUAAUAAUUUAAAAUUAUACCAUAGGCUAAAACAUGUAUUAAAAUCAGAUAAUAGGCCAAUUGUAAUAGUUUAAACGACCGUGCUAGAAUCACGGAAUCCGGGGAUGCCUAACACCUUCCCCCGGAUUAACAGAAUUCUUUAUUCAGAAUUUCUGGUUCGCAGACUUCAAAAGGAAAGUCGAAUCUUCCUCGAUUUGGGAUUUAAAAUAAGCCGGUGACUUAAGACACCAAUAAAAAUAUUCGAAGUGGCGACUCUGAAUAAAAAAUGAAUAAAUAAUCCCAUAUCGAAUAAUGCCACUUAAAUUGGAAAAACUCCUUUAUAUACCCUCUCAGGGUGUAUAAAAAGGAGGUGUGACAAUGUAGAUUUAGAGGACUCAUGCAAAGAUUACAAAUGUAAUUAGCUGCUCACUUUGAUUCUGGAGGCCUAAGAUUAGGUGCUCUUUAGUUUAUAAAUUGUUCUUUGGUUAUCAAUGGUAAUGUUUACAGUGUUACCAAAAAACAUUUUUGGUGCAUCUAAAUUUGAUAUUAUAAAAAUUCAAUUUCCCCCACUUUUCCACCUGCAACUUCCUGUAUGAUCUUAUUUUGCAAAAUCAAGUGUAGGGUUCAAAUUUUGUAAGGCAAGUUUGACUAAAACUUUAAGCUUGAGCCAUCCAUUUGUUGGCUCAACAUGGAAUUUGCUCCUUUUUUUAAUAAGUUUUUAUGACUUUUUUCAUCAACUUUAGAAGAAGACAACUAUUUUCACUUAAUGGGUUCAUAUUUCAUGUACAUAGAGGCCUUUCAUAUUAACUGCACAAGUUACACUCUCCGGUAGCUGCUAUUUACUUGUGAACACAAUCAAAAAAAUUUGAAAGCGAUGUACCAUGGCUCAAACGAAGAGGAUAAGUUAAAUCUUGAAAUUAUUGGUCCGCUUGUUCUUCUAAGUUUUUUAUGUUAUUUGUGUGAUUGAUGACUUUUCAUUAUCUCUACCGUAUAGCAAUAUUGUUCCGUGAUAUCUAAUAGCUUGUUUGGAUUGUUGUUACAUGUUGUUUUUAAAUAUAUCGUAUCGUAUCGUAUCGUAUCGUAUUGUAUUGUAUUGUUCGUUGAAUAUAAUAUUUGGAUAGAUUGUAUCGUUUGCCGUCAUUUUAUGAUGUCACGCACUAACAAUAUGGAGAAUAAACUUGCAUCAUUACUAAGAAAAAAUAAGAUAUGGAGUAGAAUUAUUAUAUAAAAGAAGUAGGAUAAAGAACAAAAUAUGAUUAUUUAAUAAUAAAGAAGGGCGAGAUGAGAGAAAAAACAAGGAAACGACGCCAUCACACCAAAUCUGUCGUUUCAUAAAGUGAUACUUUUUGUCGUUACAUAACGAUGGAUUUAAUGAUACGAUACUGUUUAACCAAAAAUAUAUCUUUCGAUCAAAGAUUAAUUUUAGAAGAAAACGGGCUUCUGAUAACCAAGUUUUGCCUCACUUUCCCAAUAGUAUCAAAGGAAAAUAACAAGAAUAAAUAAGGAAAUAAUUGAUUGCAAAGUCAAUAUAGUAAAUUUUGAGAAAAGCAGAAAAGUAAAGUGAAUAUAUUCCAAUAUUGUCUCAGAUGUCCUUACAAGUGAAAUUAUUUCCUCUUGUAUAUAGGUUUACACAUUUAAUGGUUCCUUCCAUUUAUGGCUAAAUCAUUAUGAGCUUUAAUUGUAUUAAUGAUCCGUUAUAAUUGGUAAUCGUAACUGUUCACUAGGAUUCUGUUACGAUUCUGAUUCCCCCUCCUCAUUAAGGUUCAUGGAUCUUCCUUUCUUACUGUCUUGAUUCAUUCUUUGCCAGUUGUUAGUCCCGGUACUAUCUCAUGGGUGUUUUCCUCCCGUGCCUUUUCUUAUUCUAUCAAACACGACUUCCACGUAUUGUGCCAUGUCAGUAGUCUUAUAUUCCACAUGUAGCACUUUAUCACCACCAAAUACAGAUAGUCCCCCCACUUUCUUGAAUAUUCUCUACUAAAUAUUCGGGAAAGUGGAAGGUUUUUAUGACGGGAAUUCUCUGCCGCCUUUUUCGAAUAUAAUCAUAUCCUUUUCUGAAUCGAUGUGACAUUAAUCACUUUUAUUUGACGACCAUGUCACGUAGCUGUUAACAAUUGGUCCUUCAGUUCUUCAGCGCCUUUUAGGGUUUUCCUGCAACCGCAUCAGUCACGAAGUGACAAUUCCAUUAUGACGCUUCAUAAUGACCUCAAUAGUCGUGUCUUCCUAUAAAUACUUAACUCAUUUUUUCCGAUUUUCUAAAGCCUUUCCUUCUUCGUAUUCUUGCCUUACUUCAUUCUGCAUCUUUUUCCUGUGUUUCUCUAGUUAAUCAUGGCUUCAUCAAAUCCCGGUCCUCACAAAGUAGUAAUUGUUGAUGAACUUCCCCCUACAACUGUGCUUGUUAGGAGUAGAAGAGGUGGUAGAUUACGUAGCCUCGGUUCUAUUUCUGACUGUGGUUCCUCCUCUCAAGGUAGUGCUACCAAACCAUCUUCUUCUAGAGCUAGGGCUUUUGCAACCCCAAGUUCUUCUUCUAAAGAUAAAGAUUUAACCGAAGCCCUUCGUGAACCCAUUGUUGAUGAAAUUGUCCCUGAAUAGCUAUCCUUUGUGAUUGAUUGUGAAUCCAUGAAGAGUGAAGUCUCUUCCAUGGCUGCUUCCCUUGAUCGUGAUGAUCGUUACCCAACUCUGAUUACCACUGGCCUUCUUGCUCUGGUUCGAAGAGAAUGUAAUUGGAAACCCGACUUCCCAGUUUUAAUUCCUGGUUCUAACUAAAGAAUAACUUCAUACCAAGCUGACUAUUCCUUCGUUUAUACAUAUCCCUUUACCUUAAGAUUUAAACCUCCUAUUGACCUGGUAAUCAUUGAGUUAUGUCGUUACUUCAGUGUUUGUUUGGGACAAAUUGGUCCUAUUGUUUGGAGAGUUGUUGCAUGUCUCCAUUAUUUAUCAAACUUGACUUCUAUGCCUUUUACUUUUCGUCACUUACUCCAUCUCUACUCUCCCAAACUAUUUCGUGAUGGAGUUUUUUUCCUUGUGGCCAAAAGUAAGAGAUUAUUAGUUAGCCCUGAAGAUGAUAGAGAUCGAGGCUGGUAUACUUGCUUCGUUGCUGCUCCUACUAGCGGUUUGGUGGGUGAAGAAAAUAUGUCUUUUCCAGAAAAGUGGAAUUUUGCACGUAAGUAUUUGUAUCUCACCUUUUUCCUUUCUCAAAAAUUGAUUCUCAUGUAUUCUCGUACCUACUUUUUCAGCAACUAUGGAAGUUUUUGAAGAGAUCCUUGACUUUUGUGCUUGGGUAGAAAAAUUAAUAUAUGUUGCUCCUAUGGAGAGAAGAUCUUGGAAGUACCUUUCUCGGAGAUUUGGGUGGAAAGUUAAAACACACGGUACUUUUUCCCGUUUAGUCUUUUUCUUUUUCUCUUUUACUUAUUUAAGUGUUUUUCACCAUGACUCUUUUUCUGUUGUCAGGAUUUGUCAUUCGUGGUGUUAGUCCUGCUUCUGUUUCAUCUGCAAGACUUACGGUGAGUCUUGCUCAAGAAACGAUUCCAAGGUCUUUUUCAAAGAGGAAGGUUGAUGGAGCCUGUGGCUCAGAGGAAGAAGAAGAAGAACUAGAGGAAGGUUCUUUAGUUCGUGGACCUCGAGUUAGGAGGCGCGUUAUUUCAGAUGAUGAAGCCAUACUUUCUCCAAGUUCAAUUCCUGUCAACGAGCCUGCAGAUGCUACUUUAGUGAAUUCUAAUGAAGAGAUGAAUGCUCCUCCUCGUGAAUCUACUGAUAAGUUGUUUUCCCGUGGUUUUGAUAGUGGUGAUUUUGGUCCCAUUUUUGAAGAGUUACCCUUUGCUUCUCUUCCAGUGUCAGUCCCCGUCUGUUCUCAAUCUACCGUUCCUAUUACUGCUGCUACAGCUCCUUCCGUGGCUGCUUUUACUUCCUCAACUAUACCUAUUUCUACUACUUCUCAUGUUGAAGUUGGUACCUCUAAUAGCAAUAGAGUGAUGAAAAAGGUUACCAUAAAGUCCCUGAAGAUGGUAAUCUGUUGAAAAAUUUUGGUCAAACCGACGUAUGGUUAAAACCUUUAAUUGGCCCAGUUGAGAAGUCUUAAGUUGGAAAGCCACGGCUCCUUGACAUAGAUGAAUGAUAUUAUUCAUUCAUCUUUGAAGCUUCAAGUUUUAGCUUUUUCCUUUCCUUUUCCUCGUGGUUAUUUACUUUCGUUUGACAACCACUUUUUUUUGUAGAUCAACUAAAUAGGCACGGAACUUAUGAAAAGAAUUGUUCACACUGAGCAGCUAGUCAAUGAUUACCAUACUGAAGCGAUAACUGGAAGGAACAAUAUGAGGGUCUUCAAUUGGAGAAAGAAUUUUUGGCUGAAGAGAAGUGUGCUUUGGAACAACAAGUAAGGAUGAUGGUGGCGGAAUUGGCAGUUGAAAAAGCCUCUUCAAGUCAAGUUGGCAGAGACAGACAUCCUUGAGUCUUCAUUUGCAAAGCAACUUUCUAAAACUACCAAGGAGAUAAGGGGUUUGAAAGAACUCCUUAAUCAGAAGGAGACUUAUGUGGGGAAGUUAGUUCAAACACUUACUCAGGUUCAAGAAGACCUCCAUAAGUUUCUGAUAAAAUCCAGUUGUUGGAGAGUUCCCUCGCCCCUCUGAAGAUUUCUUAUAAUGCUUCUUUGAUUGAGAAAGAAGAGUUGAAGGCUGAAAUUGACUAGUGGGAGAAAGAUUACGAAACCCUUGAAGAUAAAUCAACACCUGAUAUAAGUUGGACUUUUUUGAAUACCAGUGUCACGCCCUAAAAUCCGAGGAACACGACCAGCGCUCAACCGAGUAAACCCGACUGAGCAAGCAUAUUAGGUUUUAUACUACCCAAAUUCAUCUUUGAAUAAGGAGAAAAUGUACACCAUUAAUCAAAUUCUAUAAACAUGUCAUUAACAAUUCCAUUUCAUUUCCAUUAUCAACUUCGUUCACAAUUUUGAAGAUAUUACAAGUUUUAUACAUCAUUGCAAAACAUCAAUAUUUCUACUUUAAUUCCAAUACCCGACACUACCCACAACCUGUCUACGGACCCUCUAAAUACAACUGAAGAAUAAUAUGGAAAUGCUUGCAACAAGGCUCUAGCAAUACCUCAAAUAGAAAGGACAUGAUAUACAGAUAAAACAGGACCCCGAAACGAAGUGGGGCUAACCAAGUCAGCUGAAAGGAUGAUGCGGCACUAGCUGCGACCAACACUGCCUGCUAUAGAAACACCUACAUCCAAUUAAAGACGUAGCGCACCUGGCAAAAGGGACGUUAGUGCCAUCGAAUAGCACUAGUAUGUAUAACUAAACACCAUCCAAUUAGAAAGAACAACCAUACAAGAGUAAAAGAAAUCAUAAGGACAACAAAGCUUCAAAUAAGUAUCAAAACCAACAAUAUAAGAGGUUUACAUAGUUUCACAUAAUUUUUGAAAUUUUAAAUUGGGGUAUUCCAUAUCAUUGCAUCAUCAUCAACAUUACCACCGCUUCUUUGAGCGGAGUCCGAUCACGGCCCGAUCGACUAAGCUGUCUUACCAAGACGUUACCCUUUUUUUAUUCUCACUUUCCUGUUUUAAUUAUCAAUACAUUACCACCAUGUGUGCAUAACAUGGCGUCCGAUCACGGCCCGAUCAGCUAAGCCAUCUUACCAAGACGUUACCCUUUUUUCGUUAAUCAUCACAUUUCAAUAUUUAUUUCACAUGUAUCAAUUCAGAGGCACUUAGGGCCAUAAUUAUCAAAUCAUAUUUGGCAAUAGGCUACAUUUCAUAACUCACAUUCUACAUCACUUACACUUCCAACAUCAAACUUGCAAUUUAAGAUAAUGGGCAUAUACAAGAGCAAUUCAAGUUGUAAGCAUAGAGAGAGACAUUUACAUGAGUUGGCAUAAUAAUCACAAUUUAAACUUGACUUGAAAUCUAGGCAAUUUAGCAUAUAGUCCACAUUCUUCACAUAUCAUCAAUUUAUCAAGAAUACCAUAUUGUACAUAUUGGGACAUACUUUUCACAUAUAUUCUUGCAACACUAAUUCUUUUUAAAUAACAAAUACUACGUCAAUCAAAUUCCGGACUUACUAUUUUACAUGGACACCAUGGGAGCUCAAUUUCUAAGAAGAGGUGGUUUUAGCCACACAUACCUUGUUUAAGAGUUCCUUAAGUUACUACGACAUUCCGAAAAUUCUAGCAAUCCCAAUCUACUUUAUGACAUGACAAAAUUGAAUACAAAUUAGGAAGGUAUUCAUGGUUUCAGCUCAUUCGAGCAUUUUAUCAAAUACUAGUUGUACAUCUUGAUUUCAAAUCUCUUUUACAAGAUUUCAUUCAUUCCCCAACCCAACCUUUACUUAUUUAUGUUCAACAAUCUUCCCACAAACUUAAUUUGUACAUGCAUGUAUACAUAAUACUAUUACACCCAAGAAUCAUACCUCAAUAACCCAUCUCACAAUCUCUACAACACCGACACAACCUAGGUUAGGCACCUAUGGCUUCCAAUCAUCAUCCCAUGAGUUACAAUACUUAAUUCAUACUCAUAUUCCCAUAAUAUAUCCAUAUAUGUAAGUCUAUAGGUGUAGGAAUUACCUUUUGAAGGAAACCUUGCAAACCCUCAUUUGAAUUCUUGAAGGAAUUUCUUGAAGAUCUAUGUGUUUUAUGAGUAGAUUUCAUCAAUACUAGUGUAGGAAUGAUAGAAUUUCACACCAAGUUAAUGGAGGUUGCUUACCUUGAAGAUUGGAGGUGUUGGAGGUCUUGAGAGAGUGGAGGAAAACCCUAAAAGUCGUCCAAAAGAUAUGGGGAAAAUAAAUCCCGAAAUUGUGUUUAUAAGCCCAAAUUUCGGAUGCUGCCUCGUAUGCUUCGCAUCCCUACUUCACUCCUCUCAUGAGCUCGGAUGCUGACCCGGAUGCUAUGGCAGCACUUCACUGCCAGCUCCUCUUUUUGGAUGUUGUCUCGGAUGCUUCGCAUUCGCGCAGUCCUCCGCUAGCCUUUGGUAAUUUGGUCAUAACUUCUUGUAGGAAAUUCCAAAUGACGAACGGUUUGAAGCGUUAGAGACUAGACUCAAAGCACUUUCAUUUGACAGGCUGUGCAUCAUCUAAAACUUAUAUAUCUGUAGAUAUUCUCGUUCAAAGUGUAGUCUUGUGCGUACUCAUUUAAAAUUUUAGUCUAUCAUGUAAUUUUCCAAUUUGGCUUAGACUUAUACGCUUAUUAACAUAUCCAAUUGAUAUCCAUUAUAUCACGAAUCCUCAUUUGCACACAAAAUAAAAUAAUUAGCCUACCUUGGCACCACGAAAUCUUAAAUUACUUAGAAAUAUUUUCUAGGGCCUGACACCCCCCCCCCCGGAUCAUUCGUCCUCGAAUGAGGAGUAGCGUCUGCCCUAAACGCAUAACACAAUAUAUCCCUUUUUUCACCUACCUCAAUUCCCUAAAUUUAGACUAACUCCCAAAUUUUCAGAAAUUUCGACAGAGUCUCCUUUGUAACUAGGCCUAUCCACCUGCCAGAGAACCACCAAGACCAUCCUAACAACUCAUCUACAUCUCGACAAAGCACCACAAUGUAUAUAUCAAAAAUACUAAUCUCACAAUUACAAGCACAACAUUAUCAUAAUGAUACCUGAACAUGGACUGCACAUUUUUAAAUCACAACACCUAUAAGGUACCUCUCAAAUCAAAACCAAUUGUUAUACAAUCGAGCGAAAAUAUUUUCUUUCCACGACACUUUAGGCCUUCAAGGUGGCCUCCUUGACUUACUAGCUUUACCAUAACACAUUUACGGAAACAAUUCCAACCUCCAAACUUAUCUAACAAGGAUGACAGCUAGAUACCUCGCAUAAGCUAACUAUCCAUUAACUUCACCUUCAAUAAUUUCCACUGGAAUGAUACACAAAGGAUCUCCAACUACCUUCUGAGACAUAGACAUGUGAAUAGACAAAAUAUAUGGCGAACAACUAUGGGGAAACUUCAUACUCCUAGUGCGGCCUAAUGUGGAAUACACUUAUGCAACCUUCAUUAUCAACUCACAAAACAUCUUCAGGGGAAAAUGUUGAGAAUAACCUGUUCACCCUCCAAAACUCUAAAUCUCUAGGCGAACACUUCACACUAAAUCCUUGAUGACCUUCAACAGUUACUCUAAGAUGUGCUAUCAUAAACUGACCAUAAAAUUACCUAUCAAAUAUAUGUGAUCACACUGCGAAGCUUCCUCUUUGACUUGUUUGAACCUACAAUACCCAAUGGAUCUAAUACAAUGAGGAACAACAGAGUUCAAGAUCAGGCUGGAAUUAUUCAGGAAUCCAUUAAUGUGCUGAGCAGAGUCUUUCAUGAGGUUAUAUGCUAAUAGACACGAAGAUUACUACUAACAAUACUGACAUGGUUAAUCAUUGUGACGACAUCAAUUAUUAGACAAAUGAAGCGUAUGGGUAACUAGUACAUUGGCAAUAAGAAUCAUUAAGGAGGAAUAUUCAAGUACGUGACCCAGUCGUCUCCUGGAGUGUAGGGAAACUCUGUUUAUCAAGAAUGAGAAUACUAUGGCACCUUGAUUGCGAUAUGGGAUUCAAAAUACAUGAAGUUGAAUUGCACUCCUUUCAUUGACUCACAUAAGGAAUCUAUGCCACAAGCCCAUGAGGAUGGAAAGAAGUUGAAUACUUAUGAGAUUAUCAUGUUUCAAACAGCUGAACCUUUCCUGAUAAUUGACCCUAUAUGAGAGAACUAAAGAUAUAACAAUUGGUCUUCCAAAUCAAUAUGCUCAUGAUAUGUGCAAAAAUCUAAAGGCAUCUAACCUCAACUUUUUACGAGUGAAACCAUAUAGCUAGGAACUCAUACCAUAGGGGUGAAAUCACGUAUUGGUUAGAGGGGUUUUAAUGGUUGACGUAACGCUCUAGGAGGAAAGACAAUUAAAACUCCUAUCCUCCUUAAGGAGGUGAAAUGCCAGGGAUAGCAAAAUUUCCCGCACAUGACAAUGACGUUGUCAAUAAUCCUAGAAGCCAAGUGAGCAGAAGGCUAUGUAACCCAUCCAAUCCAACCCAUUUAAGACUUUUGAAAAGGGGAUGCGCUUUUGCUUGAAAUCAUGGCAAUAUAAGUUUGAACUUAGGUGAAAUCAUUACUUUUGAAACCCAUGAGAUAAGCCCACGUAGCCCUAGAAAAUCGUUAACAAUGGCAAGAAAGUACUUAAAACCAUUAUGAGUUGGUAUAGAGCAAGGCCUCAAAGUGCCUACAUGGAUAAGUUUGAAAGAAUGAGACGUCUUAAUGCAUUUAUUGGGGAAAGGUACCAUAGGUUAUCUAGUCACAUGGACAAGAAGAGCAGGUAAAUGGUUGUUAGAAGAACAUCUACAAGGAAUACCAGCAAUAUUCAUUUAUUCUAACAAAAGGAAUAUGUCCAUAUCCGCGAUGCUAUAAGACAUCCUCUUUGAUGCCAUAAAACAUAAAAUGAGUUUUACAAUGAGAGUUAUCAGAUGAAAUAGAUAGUAGGGCAACAAAACUAAAAAGCACCAUUUGGAACCAACAAGCUUAAAUUGAGUUGAAGAUAUUAGAAGUCUAUAAUAAAGGGGAAUUUACCCACUUCCAGUGUCCUUUUUAGAAAAAGGGGCUUGUAGAGUACAUAAAAGUGAGGUGAAUUGGAUCGAAUCAUAUAAUUGGAUAGCUAGUCGAGAAAAUGAGAUAAGAUCAUAUUGAAAAAUAUAGAGGAACAACACACGAUACAAGGUAAAUGAAAAGAAAGUAAGAGAGCCUAUGGAAGUAACCUUUACAUAGUAACCACUAGGAAGGGUGGUAAUAUAAGGGAUUACGAGAAGCUAAAUUUUUGAAAGAAGAUCUUUGUAUGUAGUCACGUGAUGUAUAGCUCCAGAAUUCAAAAAUCCAAUUAUGUUUGGCAACUCUAUUCCACAAUGAAGCACUGCAACACACUUCUAUACAACCAGCUAUUACCAGCCAAAUUGGGAGACGCUAUAAGACUUGACUGAGAGAAAAGCUUUGACAUAUGAAUGUGUUACUAAGUGUAUUUCUCCUUGGUCAACCCAAAACCAAGAGGCGAGAGUUAGCCUAAUAAGCAAAUUGUUGGACUAGCAUAUGUGUAGAUAAUCCAUUAUCGAAAGGAGAUCAUUCAAUCUCAACAAUUGCGGCAUGCUAUCAACCCUUGAUGAACUUGAAGAAGGUGGGAACCCAACGAGAUAGUAUAAAAUAAUAAUGGAAGGUUUGCAGAUGUUCAUAAUGAGUUCUCCAUGGAUUUUGACUUGAGAAUUGCCCAGAUGCUAAUGAAAGAUAGAAAAACAUGAGAAACAGGCGUUGUGCUAUAAUCACCCCCAAAGGUGUGCUUGGUCUUGACGGAGAACCUAGUAAGGGUCUUUAUGAGAAAGGAGGUGUUACAAUGAGACAUAGAAUGAUAUGUUCUCUCAUGGUUAUCGAACAAGUGUUGGAAACUAGCACAAUGAAUUCACUAACUAAGGAACACAAUUAACACAUGUUGUGGAGGUGUAAAGAGGAAAUAAACAUUUGUUAUAAGCUGGACAUGCUUUUUCUAUAUUAACUCCCAACUGCAAUACAUGACCACGCCACGAGCAACCACAAUACUAGUAAUAAAGUGAGAUACUUACUGCGGGAUGUCCCAAAUGGACACAAAAGUUAUACUAAGAUGGCGACACAAGAUCUUCCUAUGACGAGGAUGUGAGGAUCUCAAUUUUCAGAGAGACUUUAUGCACAUGGUGACCUUUUCGAUUGACAAGUAUUCAUGUGAUAGGUGUUAGGGUAUACUCUUAUGUUACUAGAACGUGAGAAGCUUUCACGAUGAUACUCGCAAGAGAGUAGAGUGACUGUUCAAACCAUAUAAUCCAUAUACACAAGUGAGUAAAAGAGUGACUCGAGAAGGAUCACAACACUAGGAUGCUUUACAUGGAACUUGACACCACAUAGGUAAACUUUACGAAGGUGCAUCCAUAGGCACAAAUGAGCAGAUGUUGUCCAUAAAAAGAUUUUGUAACAAACUCAUCGGACGUAGUCCCCUAUUGAGAAUUUAGGAAAGAAAGUGGGAAGUAUUAAUCCUAGAGUUAUAACUCCAUUCAAGGACGUAUUUAUAGAACUUAAUUCCACAAGAGGAUGUAAAUAAGAGAAUUUAUGAUAGAGUGGAUUCACGAACAACACGUCUCCUUCAAGGAGUAGGUACACACAAGUUUUUGUGACUCACAUCUUACUAAGAUCAUGUUUAUGAGGACUCUUCAAUAAGGAUGUAGACAUGCAAUAAGUAAAAAUUUUGUGUUGUUUAUAAUGAUGUACUAGGGAGUGACUUACUUGUUGACUUUAGGUUGUUAGGGCAAUAACUUAAUCGAUGCCCUUCGACUCCACAUCCCUAAUGCACGUUGGUAACAUAUUGAUAUACUAUAUGAUCUGGUGGUGCAGAGACAUUAAGGAACAAGGGUACUCCCCUUAGCAACAAGUUCUACCAAUCCAUCCAUGGCUCGAUACGUUCUCCUAACAAAUGCUGGGGCAAUCUACCUCAGAUUCAAUGGCGGGGUCAUUCCCUCUUUAAUGUUUCAAAUUCGUAGAUUAUGGUAUCAACAUUACUCAUCUGGAGAAUAUAACUGAAGAUAUUAUUAUCUGGAGAUUAUGGUAUCAACAUUUUCAUAUCAUUUCCAUUAUUAACUUCGUUCACAAUUUUGAAGAUAUUACAAGUUUUAUUCAUCAUUGCAAAACAUCAAUAUUUCUACGCUAAUUCCAAUACCCGACACUACCCACAACCUGUCUACGGACCCUCUAAAUAUAACUGAAGAAUAAUAUGAAAAUGCCUGCAACAAGGCUCUAGCAAUACCUCAAAUAGAAAGGACAUGAUAUACAGAUAAAACAGGACCCCGAAACGAAGUGGGGCUAACCAAGUCAGCUGAAAGGAUGAUGCAGCACUAGCUGCGACCAACACUGCCUGCUAUAGAAACACCUACAUCCAAUUAAAGACGUAGCGCACCUGGCAAAAGGGAUGUUAGUGCCAUCGAAUAGCACUAGUAUGUAUAACUAAACACCAUCCAAUUAGAAAGAACAACCAUACAAGAGUAAAAGAAAUCAUAAGGACAACAAAGCUUCAAAUAAGCAUCAAAACCAACAAUAUAAGAGGUUUACAUAGUUUCACAUAAUUUUUGAAAUUUUAAAUUGGGGUAUUCCAUAUAAUUGCAUCAUCAUCAACAUUACCGCCGCUUCUUUGAGCGGAGUCCGAUCACGGCCCGAUCGACUAAGCUGUCUUACCAAGACGUUACCCUUCUUUUAUUCUCACUUUCCUGUUUUAAUUAUCAAUAUAUUACCACCAUGUGUCCAUAACAUGGCGUCCGAUCACGGCCCGAUCGGCUAAGCCAUCUUACCAAGACGUUACCCUUUUCCGUUAAUCAUCACAUAUCAAUAUUUAUUUCACAUGUAUCAAUUCAGAGGCACUUAGUGCCAUAAUUAUCAAAUCAUAUUUGGCAAUAGGCUACAUUUCAUAACUCACAUUCUACAUCACUUACACUUCCAACAUCAAACUUGCAAUUUAAGAUAAUGGGCAUAUACAAGAGCAAUUCAAGUUGUAAGCAUAGAGAGAGAGAUUCACAUGAGUUGGCAUAAUAAUCACAAUUUAAACUUGACUUGAAAUCUAGGCAAUUUAGCAUAUAGUCCACAUUCUUCACAUAUCACCAAUUUAUCAAGAAUACCAUAUUGUACAUAUUGGGACAUACUUUUCACAUAUAUUCUUGCAACACUAAUUCUUUUUAAAUAACAAAUACUACGUCAAUCAAAUUCCGGACUUACAAUUUUACAUGGACACCAUGGGAGCUCAAUUUCUAAGAAGAGGUGGUUUUAGACAUACAUACCUUGUUUAAGCGUUCUUUAAGUUACUACGACGUUCCAGAAAUUCUAGCAAUCCCAAUCUACUUUGAGACAUGACAAAAUUGAACACGAAUUAGGAAGGUAUUCAUGGUUUUAGUUCAUUCGAGCAUUUUAUCAAAUACUAGUUGUGCAUCUUGAUUUCAAAUCUUUUUUACAAGAUUUUCUUCAUUCACCAACCCAACCUUUACUUAUUUAUGUUCAACAAUCUUCCCACAAAUCUAAAUUGUACAUGCAUGUAUACAUAAUACUAUUACACCCAAGAAUCAUACCCAAUAACCCAUCUCACAAUCUCUAUAAUACCAACACAACCUAGGCUAGGCAGGUAUGGCUUCCAAUCACCAGCCCAUGAGUUACAAUACUUAAUUCAUACUCAUAUUCCCAUAAUAUAUCCAUAUAUGUAAGUCUAAGGGUAUAGGAAUUACCUUUUGGAAGAAAUCUUGCAAACCCUCCUUUGAGUUCUUGAAGGAAUUUCUUGAAGAUCUAUGUCUUUUAUGAGUAGAUUUCAUCAAUACUAGUGUAGGAAUGAUGGAAUUUCACACCAAGUUAAUGGAGGUUGCUUACCUUGAAUAUUGAAGGUGUUGGAGGUCUUGAGAGAGUGGAGGAAAACCCUAAAAGUCGUCCAAAAGAUAUGGGGAAAAUAAAUCCUGAAAUUGUGUUUAUAAACCCAAAUUUCGGAUGCUGCCUCGGAUGCUUUGCAUCCCCACUUCACUCCUCUCAGGAUCUCAGAUGCUGACCCAGAUGCUGACCCAGAUGCUAUGGCAGCACUUCACUUCCAUCUCCUCUUUUUGAAUGUUGCCUUGGAUGUUUGGCAUCCGCGCAGUCCUCCACCAUCCUUUGGUAAUUUGGUCAUAACUUCUUGUAGGAAAGUCCAAAUGACGGACGGUUUGAAGCGUUAGAGACUAGACUCAAAGAACUUUCAUUUGAUAGGCUGUGAAUCAUCUAAAACCUUAUAUAUCUGUAGAUAUGCUCGUCCAAAGUGGGAUCUUGUGCGUACUCAUUUGGAAUUUUAGUCUAUUAUGUAAUUUUCCAACUUGGCUUAGACUUAUACGCUUAUUAACAUAUACAAUUGAUAUCCAUUAUAUCAUGAAUCCUCAUUUGCUCACAAAAUAAAAUAAUUAGCCUACCUUGGCACCAAGAAAUCUUAAAUUACUUAGCAAAAUUUUCUGGGGCCAUACAACCAGCUUCGAGUCUUUGAUGGAGGCUAGCCAGGAAGGUUUUGAUCUCAAUGCUGAGAUUGCUAAAGCUAAAGAAGAAAUCGAAAAAAUUCAGCAAAAUCAAGACUUUCAUUCACCUAAGGUCAGCAUUCCCGAAGGUGAUGAACUUACUCCUGGUGAAGUUGGCAUUCAAGCUUCUUCUGCUCAAGUUGAAUCUCCUCCCCCUGUUGAUGAUGCCUUAUUGGAUUCUACCUCUCCCGCUGCUGAUAAUGUCGCAUUGGAUUCUACUCCUUAGUGUUCUUUUAGAACUUAGUUUGUUUUUGGAACUUUUGGUAAGAAUUUUUUUUUUACUUUUUGGAAUGGAUGGUUAGUUUUUACCCCUGGUUCAUUUUGGGGUUUGUUUGAACAUUUUGGUUUUAACUAAGUAUAUACUUAGUUUUAACCCAAGUUUAAUAUAUGAUCUUUCUUUUAGUUUGAGUUUUUUUUUAAAUCUUUGACUUGCAUUUAAAAAUGCUUUAAUAUUUCAUGAUUUUGGCAUAGACACGAAUUUUAUAAAAGAUGGUCCUUUUAUAAACGACACUAAUGAAGAAGACGUCUCAACUUCAUAUUGGUAUAAAUAUAUGAGAGAAGUAGGAAAAUACAUAUUUUGAAGCAGUUUCAUGAAUAAUUUGAGGAAGUUUCAUAUCUUGAACUUUCAAAUUACAUAGCAUUUUACAACUAUUCAAUUAACUUUUUGUACGACAUCUACAACUCUUUCAUAAUUAUUUUUCUUAUAACAGAUUUCAAAAAUUCUAGGGUAUAUCUUGCAACCCACAACUAAUCAUUGUCCUUAACCUAAGUACUCGCAGGAUCUUGUAAUUUAUGCCCAUGAGUUUACACUUUAUCAAAGCUUAUUACAAAAGUUUUUUAUUCAUACUUGUUUCUUGUCUCUUGAUUGGCUCUUGACUUCUGAUUUUUGGGUGAUCCAGGCUUGAAUUUUGACUUUUAGUCUUCUCUGACUUGCUGUCUUCUUUGCCUUCUAUCUAUAGUCCCCCAAGUGUUAGAACUUUGAAGUAUGAAAUAUCUACCACUUGAUUACUCCUUCCAUUUGGUCUAUUUCCUGAAAAGGAAAAUACAUACGGGACUCAGAGGUAUAUUUUUAGAUGAUGAUUGCUUAACCCUUUUUAUUUCCAUCAGAAAGGUUGUAACCCACACCGGGGAUAAUUUUGUAUCACGCGUGUCUUUUUGGUCUAAUAUCAUCAUUCGGUGUGGGCUAGCUUUAUGCCUAUCAUCUAAAAUGGUUAGUAUAAUUAAAAACGAAUAAAACUAAACCACACAUAAAUGAUACCUGACCUGGGGUUCUUCCUUUAGAAGUAAUACUUAUUUAAAUGAAUAGAAUUCCAAUUCGAUGGGAGUACUUUGUUGUCCAUUGUUUCUAACCCAUAUACACCCUUUCCAACAAUGCCUCGAAUCUUGUAAGGUCCUUCCCAAUUUGGACUAAAUUUUCCUGCAUUGGUUGCUUUUGUUGAUUAAAAAACUUUUUUUGAGGACGAAGUCCCUAAUUUUGAAGUAUCUAAGAUGAGCUUUUCAAUUGUAAUAUCGCUCAAUAAUUUGUUUCUGCACUGCCAUCCUUAUUAGAGUCGCUUCUCUCCUUUCUUCAAGUAAAUCGAGAUUUAUGCGCAUCUCUUCCUCAUUUAAUUCUUUAGUUGCUUGAGUGUAUCUUAUACUUGGUUCACCUAUUUCCACUGGAUUAAGGCUUCGGCACCAUACACAAGUGCAAAUGGAGUCUCUCCCAUACCUACUUUUGUUAUCGUUUCAUAAGCCCAUAAGACUCCUGGUAAUACUUCUGGCCACUUACAUUUUGACUCCUCUAAUCUUUUCUUCAAGUUAUUAAUAAUAACCUUUUUGUCGAUUCAGCUUGUCCAUAAGCCACAGGAUGAUAAGUUGUUGAAGUUAUCCUUUUAAUCUGCUAACUUUGAAAGAAUCCUGUGAUUGCCGCACCUAUGAAUUGCGGGCCAUUGUCACAUACCAUUUCUUUUGGAACUCCGAACCGGCAUAUAAUGUUUCGCCAAAUAAAGUCCCUGACUUCUUUUUCCCCCACCUGCUUCUACCCACUUGGUAAAAUAAUUUGUUAAUACUAAUAAAAAUUGUACCUUUCCUUUGGCUUGUGGUAGUGGACCGACGAUAUUCAUCCCCCACUUCAUAAAAGGCCAUGGUAAAAUAACCGGAUGUAGUAGCUCCGCUGGGCGAUGCAUGUCGUUGCCAUAUUGUUGGCAUUUAUCACAUUUGGCCACAAAACUUUCCGCAUCUUCUUCAAUUUUUGGCCAAUAAUAUCCUGCUCUAAUUAGAGUUUUUACCAAGGAUCUUCCCCCUAUGUGAUUUCCACAGUGUCUCUCGUGUACUUCUUUCAUCACAUACUCUAUUUGAGAAGGUCUGAGAAAUCUUGCUAAAGGCCCACCGAACAUCUUUCGGUACAGGUUGCCACGGUCCAAACAAUAACGGGCAGCUUUUCAUCGAAGUGACUGAGCCUUUUUCUUAUCUUUAGGUAGAAUCAUGUACUACAAGAAAUUAACGAACUCAUUUCUCCAAUACCAAGUUAAAUUAUUGAAAUUUACCUCGUUACUGUCCUGAUCGAGUAUCGAAUGAAACAAAUGUAUUAUGGAAGCAUUCUCUUAAUUUGUUACUUCUGCAACAGAUGCGAGAUUAGCCAACACGUCUGCUUCAGCAUUUUCCUCCCUGGGUAUUUACACGAUUUUCCAAGAUUGGAAUUGUCUGAUUAAGUCUCGUGCCUUUUCUAAAUAUUGUUUCAUCCUCGCCUCUCUAGAUAUAUAAGUCCCCUGCAUUUGAUUAACUACAAGCUGCGAGUCACUUUUGAUUAUAAUCUGCACUAUUCCAAGCUGUCGUGCCAAUUCUAGACCUGCAAUUAUAGCUUCAUAUUCUGCUUCAUUGUUAGUAAUGGGAUGGCACUUUAUUGCCUGCAUUAUAGUUUCUCCUGAAGGUGGGAUUAGAACAAUGCCUAAACCCACUCCUUUAAUAUUCGAGGAGCCAUUAGCAAAUAGGGUCUAGGUACCCAUAUUAGACCCAUUGAACACCUGUAGUUCCUUUUCUGCUUCAGGUACUAUACUUGGGCUGAAGUCUGCCAUGAAAUCUGCUAAAACCUGUGAUUUUAUUGCAGUUCUAGGUUGGUAUGUUAUAUCAUAUUCACUGAGCUCUAUAGCCAAUUGGCUAAUCUACCUGAUAGUUCUUGCUUACGUAAUAUGUUUCUUAAGGGGUAAGCAGUCUCUAUAGAGAUAGGGUGACAUUGAAAAUAAGGCCUUAAUUUUCAAGAUGCCAUGAUUAGUGCUAAAGCAAGUUUUUAUAAAUGAGGAUAUCGAGUUUCAGCAUCCAAUAAAGAUUUGCUAACAUAAUAAAUUGGAGAUUGUUUACCUUUGUCUUCACGUACUAACACUGCACUUACCGCUAUUUCUGAUACAACAAGAUAGAUGAGCAACCUUUCUCCAUCCUUUGGUUUAGCCAGCAACGGUGGGUUUGACAAGUAUUCUUUUAGAUUUUUGAGUGCUUGUUGACAUUCCUCAGUUCACUCAAAUUGGUUUUGCUUUUUCAACACUGAAAAGAACUUAAAACUUUUCUCCGAAGAUUUAGAAAUAAAUCUUCCCAAAGGUGCUAUCCUACCUGUCAAUCUCAGUACCUCUUUUUUGCUCAUGAGUAUGUCUGGUAUUUCUUCAAUGGCUUUGAUCUGUGCAGGAUUUACUUCUAUUCCUCGGUUAGAAACAAAGAACCUAAAAACUUGCCUAAAGACACGCCAAAUGCACACUUUUUGAGAUUUAACUUCAUAUUGAAUUUGCGGAGAAACUGAAAAGUAUCUGACAAAUGUUGGAUAUGAUCCCCCACCUGUGUUGACUUGACUAGCAUGUCAUCGAUGUAGACUUCCAUAAUUUUUCUCAGGUGUUCUUGAAACAUUUUUGUUACCAACCUUUGGUACGUGGCUCCAGCAUUCUUUAGCCCGAAAGGCAUGACUUUAUAACAAUAAGUCCCCUGUCUGUAAUAAAGGAAGUUUUUUCCUCAUCCAAAGGAUCCAUUUUUAUUUGAUUACACCCUGAAUAGGCAUCUAUAAAACUCAACAACUCAUGUCCUGCAGUAGCAUCAAUUAGUUGAUCUAUAUGCGGUAAAGGAAAUGAGUCUUUAGGAUAAGCUUUAUUCAAGUCCGUAUAAUCUACACAAACUCGCCAUUUCCCAUUAUUUUUUGGUACCACUACGGUAUUAGCUAGCCAAUUAGGAUAUUUUAUCUCUCGUAUAGACCCAAUUCUUAAAAGUUUUUGUACCUCAUCCUGAAUCACCUGAUUUUUGAAGGAUUCUUGCUUCCUUUUCUUCUGUUUGACAGGUGGAUAUGAUGGAUCUUCAUUUAACUUAUGGGUCAUCACCUUUGGUGGUAUACCUGUCAUAUCUGAAUGCCACCAAGCAAAGCAAUCUGCGUUAGUUUUUAAGAAUUCAGUUAACUUACCUUUCAUUUCUGCGCUCAGGUUGGUUCCAAUAAAAACUUUUCUGUCCGACCAAUGUAUAAACAGCACCAUUGCUUCGAGUUAUUCUAUUGUUUUUUUAAUGUUUUUAUUCUCUUCUGGCUCUUGAAUGAUAUCAGGCCUUGAAUCUACAUCCAUUUGCCCAUCUCCAGUUGAGGUUUGUGUUGCUAAAUCCUCAAUUGAUAUCUGUAAUUGCUAUUUUUGUCUGCAACAUCGUUCUUUAUGCUUGAAUCGCCACUGAAUUGAUACUUCUGGAAGACUGCUGAUCACCACGGAUUUGUCUAAUCCCCCAUUGUGAAGGGAACUUAAUAACCUGAUGUAAAGUAGACAGAACAUCAACCAUAUCAUGAAUCCAAGGUCUGGCGAGAAUUAUAUUAUACGUCAUGUCCGUAUCUAUCACUUGAAAUUUCGUACCUUUGACAACUCCUUCUGCAAAUAUGGUAAGUACUAUUUCCCCUUUUGUAACAAUUCUUGAAUUGUCGAAUCCACAUAAGGUCCGUGCUUUGGUCACCAUUUUGUCAUCAGCUUGCAUCUUGUUUACCACUUUUAACAGAAUAAUAUUUACGGAGCUACCUGGAUCAAUCAAAACUCAUUUCACAUUACUAUCAUGUACAAGUAAUGAUAUUACCAGUGCAUUGUUGUGAGGGAUCAUCAUGCCAUCUACGUCUGCAUCAUCAAACGUUAUGUUGUAUUCUUCCAAAACUUGGCGAACUCGCUUUUUGUGGGUAAUCGUGACUUUUGAUUUUUUUGCAGCUGUAUAUGUCACACCGUUGACCUCCUCUCCUCCGUUUAUCACAGUAACUGUUCUUUUUGGUGAUGGAGAUUUUGGUGGCUCUUUCUAUUCUUUAUAUACGUUUGCUAAAUCUUCUCACUAAACAAAUCAGUUAAAUAACCUUGUUUUAACAAAUGCUCUAUUUCGCCUUGUAGCAAUAUGCAAUCUGCUGUUUUAUGACCGUGGUCUUUAUGAAACUCGCACCAGAAAUCUGGAUUUCUUCUGUUAGGGUUCGAUCUCAUUUCUUUUGGCCACUGCAACUUUUCUCCCAUACUUCUUAAAACAGCUACCAACUCAGUAGUGCUAACAUUAUGACUCUAAUCGCCAAUCUUUGCCUUUGUAUUAACAUUGUUAUCUCGCGUAUCUCGCUCUUUCCCAAACUUGGAUGAUGAACCCGCAUCUCUGUCUCUUGAUCUAGAACCGUACCUCAUAUUUUCUUGUUUAGAACGUGAAUCCCGUCCCGCUGGUCCCAUGUAAGGUUUGUACAUGUUCUUACCGGACCUUUUUCAGUUUCUGGUCACAUGUAAGGUUCGUACAUGUUCUUCUAUUUGCAGCUUCGUACUAUACCUGUUGUAAACAUCAUUCCAAGUUGUAGCAGGGAAUUCUCGCAAACUUUCGUUGAGCCUCCUCGUGGCUUCUGAGCUUUUUUCAUUUAAGUUACUUGCAAACUCUAUGGCCGCCCAGUUAUCGGGUACCCACAGUAACAUCAUUCUUUAACACUGGAAUCUAUCCAUAAAUUCCCUGGGUAGCUCUGUAUCUCCUUGUUUUAUCUUGAAGAUGUUUUCCUUCCUCUUUUCAACUUUUUGAGCCCCUAAGUGUGAUUUUAUAAAUGAAUCUGCAAGCUCAGCAAAAGAAUCAAUAGAAUUUUCCGGUAAAAGAGAAUACCAUGUUAGUGCUCCUUUUGUGAGUGUUUCGCCAAAUUUUUUUACCAGCACCAACUCAUUUUCUUGCUUGGUUAAAUCAUUGCCUUUUGCACCAGUUGUAAACGCAGUUACAUGAUCUCGUGGGUCGGUUGUUCCAUCAUACUUCGGAAUAUUUGGCAUCUUAAACUUUUUUGGAAUCAGCAAGGGGGAGGCACUUGGCUUCCAGGGCUAUUGUGAACAUUUGUCAAUAUCCA
rnacentral:lncRNA from 1 species